GAGUUUGAUCCUGGCUCAGGACGAACGCUGGCGGCGUGCUUAACACAUGCAAGUCAAGGGGGCCCAGCAGUGGGCAACCGGCGAACGGGUGCGUAACACGUGAGCAACCUUCCGAAAUAUGGGGGAUAGCCGGCCUAACGGCCGAGUAAUACCGCAUACGCUCUCGAUGAGGCAUUUCAUUGAGAGGAAACCUCCGGGGUAUUUCGAGGGGCUCGCGGCCUAUCAGCUAGUUGGCGAGGUAACGGCUCACCAAGGCAACGACGGGUAGCUGGUCUGAGAGGAUGGCCAGCCACAUUGGGACUGAGAUACGGCCCAGACUCCUACGGGAGGCAGCAGUGGGGAAUCUUGCGCAAUGGCCUAACGGCUGACGCAGCGACGCCGCGUGUAGGAUGAAGCUCUUCGGAGUGUAAACUACUGUUGCCCGGGACGAAUAGCUCGAUUAAUCGAGCCUGACAGUACCGGGUGAGGAAGCACCGGCUAACUCCGUGCCAGCCGCCGCAGUAAG
rnacentral:rRNA from 1 species